GGGGUGGGAUGAUGAGGUUUCACACUAAGGUGACUGAAACCAGAGCCUGUUGAAAAACAUUUCAAUUUUUUAGAAUCGGUAUUAAUUUUUGACGAAUGUAUCAACUACCAUGUGGAAUAGUUUGACUUCUUGGCUUCUAUCUGAUGUGUAUUUCCUUUUGUAUUUUCUGAUAUAGAAUAGAAUAGAACCAAGUUUUUCACCAGUAACGUCUACUUUAUGCUUUGUUUCUUCUAAGCAUGCUUUUUGUUACAACAAAAGUGUCAAGAGGAGGCC
rnacentral:lncRNA from 1 species